rnacentral:rRNA from 1 species
CCUACGGGAGGCAGCAGUAGGGAAUCUUCCGCAAUGGACGAAAGUCUGACGGAGCAACGCCGCGUGAACGAUGAAGGCCUUCGGGUCGUAAAGUUCUGUUGUUAGGGAAGAACAAGUGUUAGUUGAAUAAGCUGGCACCUUGACGGUACCUAACCAGAAAGCCACGGCUAACUACGUGCCAGCAGCCGCGGUAAUACGUAGGUGGCAAGCGUUGUCCGGAAUUAUUGGGCGUAAAGCGCGCGCAGGCGGUUUCUUAAGUCUGAUGUGAAAGCCCCCGGCUCAACCGGGGAGGGUCAUUGGAAACUGGGAAACUUGAGUGCAGAAGAGGAAAGUGGAAUUCCAAGUGUAGCGGUGAAAUGCGUAGAGAUUUGGAGGAACACCAGUGGCGAAGGCGACUUUCUGGUCUGUAACUGACGCUGAGGCGCGAAAGCGUGGGGAGCAAACAGGAUUAGAUACCCUGGUAGUCCACGCUGUAAACGAUGAGUGCUAAGUGUUAGAGGGUUUCCGCCCUUUAGUGCUGAAGUUAACGCAUUAAGCACUCCGCCUGGGGAUACGGUCGCAAGACUGAAACUUAAGGAAUUGACGG